AGCGUCACAAGCCGGAAUCUCGCGACGCCACAGCCGAGCUUGCGCAGUCGGCCACGGGCGCGUUCGCUGCACAAAAUGGCGGCGGCCGAGUCUGCGGCGGGGGAGGAGCAGCGAGCCGGCCCAACUCAGGUCCCCCAGUCCCGGGCGAGCCCCCCGGGGUCCUGAUCGCCGCGCCUGCCGGCCAGGAGACGCCGUCCUCCGCAAAGAGCGAAGCCCCGGCCACUCGCGACCCGAGCGGCCAUGAAGAAGCCUCGAUCCGAGAAGCCUUGCCCUCAAAGCGAGCCACUCACCUACCGGACACGGUCUUUGGCGGCUGAGACCCGGGGAGGUCCGUAGUCUGCGACGGAGCUGUCCUGCCUCCCUACAGACCCCGACCUCAACUCUCGUCUACGUCUCGCCACAACUGACGCACUUAGCAGCUCGGGCGUUGCACAAAA